rnacentral:lncRNA from 1 species
CGUGGUGGCCAGGCUGAUCUCGAACUCCUGACCCUAGGUGAUCUGCCCACCUCUGCCUCCCACAGCACUGGGAUUACAGCACUGGGCUAAAAUGUCUACAAGUUCAGAUGGCUCCCUGGCUCCUCCUUCAGCCACCAUCCUCCCAAGGGAGAGUCAGUGCUGACAUGAGUCCCCUAAAAUUCGUUCAUCUUUCUGCUGCAAUGGAUAACCAAAGCAAGCUGAGUUCCUGACGGCUGCAUGGAAGUUAGCCAUCCAAGAGAAGAGAGGGCAUUCUAGAUAUGGAGGGCAGGCCACUGCUGCUGUCAUUAGAAAGACUCAUUUCAGCCCAGGCAAGGGGAGGAGAGCAAACCCAGAGAUGGUAACCUGCUCCCCUGAACCAGAGGAAGCAGAGACCUUCUCACAAGGACCAGGCGAGGGAUGGUCGAGAAGAUUCUAAUCCAGAUUCAGAAGAGGAGCUGACUGGCCUCUGGCAAGCCCAAGCUGGAUUACCAGCUGCGGAGGCAGAGGUGCCUGAGGUUUCCCAGCCCCCAGGCCAGAGGAGGCUGCUACACCCACUUCCCCCACGAAGCUGGGGCCCAGGCCAGAGAGAGAGCCCCAAAGCUGGUUUGGGGGCGGGGAGCUUCCCUACAGGCCCUGGAGCCCCAUAGGCCCCAAGACAAAGCAAGAGGAAUGAGAGGAAGCACAGCCGGGUCAAAGCUCCGAGCCACGAGUACUGAGGCAGGUGGUGGUACCCAGACCCCCUCUCCAUAGCUCCCAUGAGAGCACAAGGCGGAGGAGAGGACAGACUCCUGGCCUGAGGGGCCAAGCACCAGCUUCUCAGCCAGCUCUGCCACUGACUUGCUGCUUGGCAAGUCACUUAACUGUUCCAAGCCUCAGUUUUCACUUCUGGAAAUGGGGAUAUGACCCCCUGCCUGCCCCCUCAUGCUGGCAUAAGAAUCAAUGACCUGUGACAGGACUUUGUAAAUUAUAAGUUGGUAUUAGUUAGGCCUCUUUAGUCACAAAUGUGAGAAACUGACAUUAAAUGAGGCAAUGCAAAAGGGGGAUUCACCAGCUCAGAGGCCCAAGACCCAGGGCAGGGAGAGGAGGCGCUGUCAUUCCCUCUCACCCCUGCAUCUCUCUGCAAGUCAGUCUCUUCUUCCGCAAGCCUGGAGCCAACUUCACCUCCUAAGAGGAGCUUCUCUGCUCUGUCACUACCAACUUGAACAACCACAGGGAGGGCCCUGAAUUGUGUCACAUGUCCACCCAUGGCUGUGAGACACUAUCUUAUGCAGCUUCUUCUGGAAGCUUCUUAUUUUGAUUGUUGGCAUCAGCAUUAUAAGUUUGCCACAUUUUCCUGAUUCCUAUCCUCCUUGGACAAAAUAACAUAGGGGCUAAGGGCACAGGCUCUGGAACCCAGAUUACCUGGAUUCAAGUUCUGGUUCUGCCAUUUUCUCACUGUGUAACGUUGGGCAAGUCGCUUAACUUCUCUGCACCUCAGUUCAUAAAUCUGUGAAAACUAAAUGAGUUGAUACAUGGGAAGUAUGAACAAUUGUGCCUGGUGCCGGCCAGGGGUUCAACAAAUGUUAAUCAUUAUUAUUGUCGGAGAAUGAAGGGGCAGUGCCUGGGAAUCCCAGGAUGAGAGACAGCCUGAAGAAAAACCAUCCUGCUCCACCUACUCCUCAACCUUCUUCCGGGGAGAGCUGACAACUGCAGGAGCUAUGGCUCAACAAAGAUGUACAGAGCUAUGCAGUAAGCCCUGAGAAUUACAAAACUUGACAGACAAAGUCGCUUUUUCUCCAGAAGCUCAUUGCCAAGUAAGGGAGAUAGAAGCAUGAAGAGAUCAUUUCUAUCCUGUGCUGGAUAGAAGCGUGUGUAUGUCUCUGUGGGAAGCCACAGUGGGACAACUGGUCCAGAGAGAGCUGCCUGGAAGAAAUGACACCUGAGCUAAGGCCUGGAGCAGGGGCAAGAGCUUGCCAAGCAAGGAAAGGAGGGCAGGGCGUUGUGCUGUCCAUUGGCUAUUCAGUCUCGGCUCCAGAUCUCCACUUGUCAGGUUGGCGCUACUGGGGCUUGAUCUGUGCAAAUUACAUGUCCCCAGGUCAGCUGGUUCUGGCAGGUUCUUCCAAUAGGGGGCACUAGGAGACUGAGGUCAGGAGGAGAGAAGGCACUUGCUCUUUUGUGCUUGCUUGCUUCUCCCCAGCAAGCUUUUUGCCGCAGAAGCAUCCACUGAAGCCUCCAGCUUUCUUCAGCCUCAGCAGCUGGAAGCCAUGUGAAGCAGCUGACAAACAGCUGGAGGCUGAGAUGCCUGCUGUGGGGGGAGCAACAGUUUAAACCAGUGAGCAUGUAGCAUCGGAAAGCUUCCCGAUGGAUGAUAGCACAACGAGCCAGAUUCAUCUUCCAAAGCACCGCUGUCCUCUCCAAGCUGCAGUCUCUCACUCUCUUGCCCUUAGAGUAAGUCCGAAUGCCUCACCCGGGCCUCCAUGAUCCAGCCAAGCUGCCCUUGCAGCCUUUCCUCCCCGCACCCCACCGGCAUCCCCUGGGCUGCCCAAUCAGCCUCCACCAGAUUCCCAGGCAGGGGAGCCACGGGGGAAUGUCCAGUGUUGGAGCUGGAAGCCAGGGACGCUGACUUUAGAACUGUCUGGUUGCUGUGGAGCCUCAUGGAGUCUUCCCAGGUCUGUCUCCCUGUUUGAGGCUUGCACUCCAGAGGCCCCUCUGGGCAAUAAUGAACCACCGGGAGUGGUGCCGGGAUCGCAGACAGAGAUGGACUGCCUGGAGCAGGGUCACCAGGACCAAGGCAGUAACUCAGGUCUGUCAGCGACUUUGUCCACUUCGUCUGUCUCUCAGGCAAUUCCUAGAGCUGUGGGAGGGCCCAGGACAUGCCCACACCCAGCCACAGUGAGAAUGAGGCUGGUUGCUCCUCACUUCUGUUAAAUCAAACUAAAUUUGGCCUGAGAAAGCCUCUGUACUCACAUACUUGAGUUCUUACUUAGGAACAACAAGCUAACUUAGUACCUAAACAAACUGAAAACUCAACUCAGCAGUAUGCUUCUGUAACAAUGGCUGAGUCUCAGCCAGUCGCAGGCGGCCAGCUGUUCAGACCUUGUACCAAUGAGGAAAACGCUGAGCUGUAACUAACCCAGCUGUUUCUGUAGCUCACAAUUCCUGUAUGUCACCUUCCUUUUUCUGUCCAUAAAUCUUAUCUGACCAUGUAGCAGCCCUGGAGUCUCUGAAUCUAUUCUGAUUCUGGGGGCUAUCAAAUUCAGAAAUCAUUUUGGUUGUUUUUUUUCUUUUCUUUUCUUUUUUUUUUCAAUUAAACUCUGUUAAAUUUAAUAUGUCUAAAGUUUUUCUUUUAACAGAUUUGGUGUCAGAAGUGAGAAUACAGAGUAAAACUUCAGCAACCCCCAGGAACACCAGGGAACCAGACCAGAUACCUGCGAAGCCAGCUGUGCCCACUGAUUUCUUGUUUGUAACUGGAGGUCGUGGCUGAAUUUUCUCUCAGAUUCCAAGAUCCAAGAAUUUGUGUUCUCAGCUCUCCAAGUUUGUUUGAGCAAUCUUUGGACUGGGCUGGGUUUGGGAUUGGAUUGGAUUCAAUAAUCAACCGGAUUAGAUUCAGUUAGAGGCUGAGGGCCUCAGGUGGGUACCUUUUUGGUAAUGAGUUCAUCUCAAUUCAAAGAGCCUGGGACUCCACAUUCUGGGACUCCAGCUACUUUUAUGUAUAAAAUUAUGGGCCCAGAACAUGUGCAUUUUCAGAAAAAAUGGGUUAACCUCACUGAGACAACUUAGAAAAGAUAAUGGGGAAGUUUUAAUUUGGUUAAAAUUAUUUAUUUGCAAGUCAUAUGAGAAAAAAGGAAUCAGAAUCCCACAUAAAAACAAUAGUAUGUAUCCUUUAAUUAGUAUAGGAAGAUCUAAAAGACUGAACAAAUCAAAAAUUGCAUCCGUAAAAGAUUCUUUGCAAAAAGCAAGUGAAAAUCUUAAACAACAGACUAAGGACAUCAUAAAAGAGGACUAAGGCCGAG